GAGGCCGCGCGGAGCCGCGUAGGGAUACGCCGGCGGGAGCACGCGGUGCCGCAGCCCUUCCCUGCGCCCCCGCCACCCCCUCCACCCCGCCGGCUCCGCUCCACCGAAAUUCCCCUCCUAGGGCCAAUAGCUCACAUUUCCGGCUUCCUCCUCAUUGUACUGGGUCAUUUUCGUUUAAGCGUCAAUAUUUGUCCUUAGUGAUUAAAGUUUGUAUCCAAUUUUAUUUUUGAAAGCGGGGGUGGUGGUGGUAGUGGGAAGAGUGGGAGUGCAGGGAGAGGAUGCGAGAGGGCAGGAAAUGGAGGAGGUAGAGGCGAGGCACUACUUUUCCGAGUCGGCCUUGCAGGCCAGUGUCUGGCAUUUCUGAGCCAGCAGGAAAAUUGUGCCCUUUGUAGGUAAUAGUCUAGCGCAGCUUUGGAUAAGGGGGGAGAUAAGGCCCACCGCUGGCGUGUGUGCGGGGGUGUCCUUUACUUCGGGGGAGGAGGGUGUGGGAGAGCUUUGGGAGCGAUGAGAUGAGGAGGAGGAAGUGGGCAGAGGAGCGCGGGGCCAAACAGGGGUUACUUACUCGAUUCCUGAGGCCUGGGCGGCGGCGAGCUCCGGGCUCCGGCACCGCGGGGAAACCGGGACUGGGGCUCCGGGUGCUGCUGCGGCGGCCGGGGCCGCUCAGUAGUGGGCGCCUCUGAUGGCCUUCCGAAAUGAGAGGUGCCCAGAGAGAAAACAGUACCAAACAAUCUCGAAAUAAAUCAGAUGCACAGAGAAUUUCUGACCUUGUGACGUUUGGGAGUGAGGAGAUCCCAUACAGAGGCAUCCAGGUAUUUCCAGAGAUCCUGUGGCAGGUGAGGUCUGCCCUCGCUGGAGCCAACUCGUCUAUAAUAUCUUCCUAACAGCAGAUACCAUAGAGGAGAGGUCGAGGUCCUUCCACUGAAGCACCAAGUGGGGUAUAUAAAGCCACACUGCCCAUGAGGGCUGUGGUGUGAGUCUGCUAGCCGUGAGAGACAGAUGCAUUACAAAGGGAUGGAUUUAGUGCACUCUUUCCUCUCUUACUCACAGCCUGAACAGCCAGUGAACAAUGAAACAAAACUUCUUCCCAAGCCUCAAUGAGGAUUGUGCCAUAGUUUGAAGAGUUGUAAAUAUAGCUUAUCUGAACUCUAGAAGUCAUAUUGUUCAGUGUUCCUGAAAGUAAUGAAAAAAGUUAUCUAGAAUAUGUACAUAUCAGUUAGAAUGUUUGUGAAGCAAGUGAUUGAAAAUUUAUUAUCUUCCAGAGAUGGCAUCAAGGUGAGUUGAUUCAGCAGCUUAACCUUGUCAUCGAGCAUUCCAGUUCUUUCAGCCUCUCUACUCUGCUGUCUGCAACAACAGUUUAUACAAAGGCUGGUUUCUUUCUCAUGUGAGAUGGCUUUGUGUUUGCCCAGUGUGUGUGUGUGUGUGUGUGUGUGUGUGUGUGUGUGUGUGUGUGGCAGAGGGGCUUCUCAUGUGUAUAGGUGAAGUAAGUUGGAGUUAUUUAGGAAAGGGAAGAGCAAAAAGAAAGAAAGAAUACUGGGUAAUCAUCAAUGCCCAACACAGGAAAGAGUGUAAGUAAAUGAAACCUCUGUUUUUUAAUGAUAAAUUUUGCAUGUAGCAUGUUCUAGUAAAGUUUGGCUCCACUGAACUUGUAUUACUUUGUAAAAUAUUCAAAGUCAUAUUGAAAAAAAUUCAAAUGUUCUCUAUUUAUUACUUCCCUUUUGGAAUUCAGUUAUGACUCCUUAACAUAGAGGCUCUAAAUUCUUAAUUAUAUAGCUGUGAAAUAGACUUUUAAGUGGAUUGUAAUUUUAUACAUUUGUGAGCUUUUAUUGCAUUCAUUUCUUAUGGCAGAGAUUGCUCCUUAUUCUCACAAUCUUUAUUUGGGCCAUGGCUGUUCUGCAUAUAGACUACUUGGCAGCCUCCCUUAGAACUAGGUGUAGCCAUAUGAUCAAGGUCUGUUCAUGGGAAUAUAAAUGAAAGUAAUGUGUACAACUUCCAGCCAAUGCUUUCAAAGGAAAGGUGUGACACUUUAGGGCUGGUAGAAAGAAACAACAAUAAGGAGCCUAGAUACCUGGUAAGUUUUAAACAGAAGACCUAGUGUAUCAGCCUACAUAAUUAUGUCUAUCUUGUAUAAGCCAUUUUAAAUUUAGGCUGAACUUAUAUCCUAAUGCAGUAGAUAACCAAUAUCAAUACAUUGUCUAGAAAUAAAACAUAAUUUUCUGUUGUUUUUUGAUUUUCUUUUAGAUGAAGUCUUGCUCUGUUGCCCAGUCUGGAGUGCAGUGGUACGAUCAUAACUCACUGAAGUCUCAAACUUCUGGGCUCAACCAAUCCUCCCGCUUAACCUCCCAAGUAGCUGGGACGACAGGUGCAUGCCACUACGCAUUGCUAUUAAAAAAAAAAUUGUAGAGAUGGGGUCUUACUAUGUUGCCCAGGCUAGUCUUGAACUCCUGGCCUCAAGCAAUUUUUCCAUCUUGGCCUCUGAAACGCUGGGAUUACAGGUGUGAGACACCACAAGGCCUGAUUUUUUUUUUUUUUUUUUUUUUUUUUACUGGAAAUUGGAUUACAAUCCUUCUGAGUACAAUAUAAAAUACAUUGCUUGUUGUUGAAUAAUUUUAGGAAUGGAGUAGCAUCAUAUGGAGCUUCCAACAUUCUUAUUUUGAUUUUGUAGUUUUUUAAUAAACACAGAAGACUUAACUGUUUUGAAUGAAUUUACCCAUUGCAAGCAAUUAACAUCCAAUCACUUUACUUAAAAUAAUCAAACCAUUUGUGUAUAUAUAUACAGGAUAUAUUUCUACUGUUUACUGUCUCAAAGCAUUUUAACAAGCUAUUGUGCUGGCAGAGUUAAUUAGAUCUGAAAACUGGUAUAAUAAAAACAAUAAAAAACUGUAAGAAUGCAUUAAAAUAGAACACCAAAAUAAUAGAACCUAAGGUUUCUAAAGUUGUAUUUGACAAGUCAAAUGUUCCUUAAUAACUGGAUGCAUCAGAAUACAUUGUUCAUUAUAAUAUUAAAGGCAUGUAAUGAAAUGAAAAUUGAAGCAAUAGAGAAUUCAGUAUGCACAAUUAUUUUAAAUUUAAAAUCUUACCCAUAAUGAACAUAGCUAAAAACAUAAAAGACAAAUGAUAGAGAAAUUAAAAGCAAUUAUCAAAGGAAUUCUCAGCAGAAAUUUCUGAUUUAAAUUAAAGCCUAUGAUUAAAAAUCUCCUGCCUCUUUGUCCCUCUCGCCUCUUCCCACAAUUCCUUACUGCCUCAGCACCUUGUAACUUACAUUUCUUUUCUUUAAAGACAAUCAUACUAUGCUUGAUCUAUGUGGCAGGAAUGAACAUAUCAACUUCACUUUUCAUCAACUUCACAUCUUUCUGGAUCCUGUCUCUGUAAGCCCUAAUGCUUAACUUGUGAAAGAACAAAGAUGGAAAUACUAUUGAGUAAGGUCCAUGAAAAGUGGAAUUAUUUUUCACCUACAUAAAUGUUAAUUUUGUAAAUAAAAAAGAAGACCAUUUCAGAUUUUUUUAAAAUUGAGGCUUGAAAUGGAGUACAGUGUAUUUUGGUGGCCAGGCCUGGAUUGUGAUUAUCUAGGUACCCUAAGUAGCAAAAAGAUUAUGGUCCCUCAUCCCCAGAUAAUAAAUGUGAUGCAUUUAUUUAUUCAAUCAAAAUCUGUUUUUGAAUAUUUGCUCAGGCACUCUUCUAGGCACUGAAGACACAAUAGUUAACAAAAUGACUUUUCUUAUUAUUUUCACAUUCCAAUUAUUUAAAUCAGUACUAAUGAUAAAAGAAACAUGUGGCAAUUCAAAAAAAAAGUCGCAUUUCAGUUGAUAAAUCCUUUUUGCUUUUUUGGGAAAUAUCAAAUUAUUUUAAAAAAUUUCUGCUCUUCUUUUUGCUUCUACAUUGUGCAUGUACUUAAAUUUCAUAUUGGCUAUUAAACACUGACACCACUUCUUUUCCAAGUAUUUUUUGUUCAUUUUUCAGAUGCCACUGGUAAUUAGUUAUUUUUCUUUUAUAGUAAAAAAGCUAGUAUAUUUGUUUACCCUUUUUGAAGAAAUUGUAACUUCAUAAGCUCUAAACUGAACAACUUGAACAAAAAACUAGGGAAACUUGAUGUGGUUUUAAAAGUUAAAACCAUUAAUUGUGUUUUACUGGAGGAUGCUGCCAAUUAAUUUUGUCUGAGAUUCUUUAUUCUUAUGUUUAUAUAAUACAGUGCGUACUUUAGAGGGACAUAUCCCAGAUUUUUUUCAAUGUAAUAUCUGAUACAUACAAAAGAAUAUAUGUAAUAUAUGGUCAAAUUAUUAACCAUAACAACAAAACAAACAACAAGAAUGCAGCAUAUUAGCCUAAACACUACAUCAUUAACAAUAUUUUUAUUUGAAUUAUUUAAAGAAAAAAUAACCUUUUUUGUCGGAGACAUUUUUCCAGGUUAUACGACCCACCCCCAAAUUUUUUUUUCUUUCUUUCUUUUCUUUUUCUUUCUUUUCUUUUCUUUUCUUUUUUUUUUUUUUUUCUGAGACAGGAUCUCACUCUGUUGCCCAGGCUGGAGUGCACUUGCAUGAUCGUAUCUCACUGCAACUUUGACCUCCCUGGCUCAAAUGAUCAUCCCACCUCAGCCUCCCAAGUAGCUGGGACUACAGUAGGGUGCACUAUGCCUGGCUAAUGUUUUAAAAUUUUUGCAAAAUUUCUGGCUGUGUUGCCUCCUUAUAUUUUAUCUGAUGUCUAUACAAUAUUAGACUAGGCUAGAGUGUUGCCUUAAGGAAUAUUUCAUUUUCUACUUUUUAAAAUGCUAAAAGUAAGAUUUAUUCUGAAAUAAGUCUGAGUGUAUAGAAAAGUUGCAAGACCAGUAUAAGUGACGUUUUAUCUAAACCACUUAAAGUGAAUUAUCAAUGCUAUGCCCCAUCAUUCCCAAAUACUUCAUUCUGUAAUCCUUACAAAGACAUUCUUCUACCAACACAGUAAUGAAAAAAUUUUAAAAAACCAUUGAAACAUUACUAUCAUCUAAUUUGUAGUUCCAAUUUUUUUUGCCAAUGUCAGUGACAAAAAGUUCAAUGACAGAUUGUAUAUUUCAUUUAACUGUCACUUUAAAAAAUUAAAUAGUUUUGUUUUUAGAGUAGUUUUAGCUUCACAGCAAAAUUGAACAUAAUGUACAGAAUUCUCAAGUACCUUCAUCCUCCCCCGAUAAUCUCCUGUGCUACAACUGUUGAGAUCCUGCAACACAGUGAUGCGUUUGUUAUAAUCGAUAAACCUGCACUGAUACUCAAAGUCCGUAGUUCAUCUUAAAGUUCACUCUUGGUACUGUGAAAUCUACGAUAUUUGACAAAUGUAUAAUGACAUGUGUCCCCCUUUGUAGUAUACAGAAUAGCUUCACCACCCACAAAAAUCUGUUCUCCAUCUAUUCCUCCUCCCCUCCCACCUAACCUCUGGCACCCACUGAUCUUUUUACUGUCUCCACAGUUUUGGCUUGUCCAGAAUGUUACUUAGUUUGAAUUACAUAGUAAGUAGCCAUUUCAUAAUGGCUUUUUUCCCCCUUAGUAAUAUGUAUUUAAGUAUCCUCCAUGUCUUUUCAUGGUUUGAUAGCUCAUUUCUUUUUAGUGUUGAAUAAUAUUCCAUUGUCUGCAUGCACUCUAGUUUAUAUAUUGAUUCACUCGCUAAAGGACAUCUUGAUUGCCUCCUAGUUUUGUCAAUUAUGAAUGAAGUGGCUGUAAUCUGUGUUCAAGAUUUUGUGUAUACAUGCAUUUCCAACUCAUUUGGAUAGACACAAAGGAGUGCACUUGCUGAAUCAUAUGGUAAGAGUAUGUUUAAUUUUGUGAGAAAUUGCCAAGCUGUCUUACAAAGUGGCUGCAUGAUUUCACAUUCCCACCAGCAACAAAUGAGAAUUCCUGUAGCGCUUUGUUCUCACCAACAUUUGUGUUGUUGGUAUUUUGGAUUUUCACCAUUCCAAUAGAUGUGUAGUGGUAUCUCAGUGGUGUUUUAAUUUGCAAUUCCCUAAUAAUGUAUCAUUUCAUAUGAUUAUUUUCCAUCUAUAUCUUCUUUGUUGAGGUGUCUGUUCAGGUCUUUUGCCCAUUUUUUAAAAUUAGGUUUUUUGCUUUCUUACUAUUGAGCUUUGGGUAACCGUCCUUUACCAAAUAAGUCUUCUGCAAAUAUUUUCUCCCAGUCUGUGGCUUGUCAUCUCACUCUGCUGACUUUGUCUUCUGCACAACAGAUUCUUUUAAUUUUAAUGAGGUGCAGUUUAUUUAUUAUUUUCUUCAUAAAAUCACACUUUUGAUUUUGUAUCUAAAAAAUCAUCACCACCCCCAAAGUCAUCUGGAUUUUCUUCUGUAUUUUCUUCUAGGGUUUUAUAGUUUUGCAUUUUACAGUUUAGGUCUGUGAUCCAUUUGGAAUUAAUUUUUGUAAAGAGUAUAAUGUCUGUGUUUAGAUUUAUUUGUUUUUAACAUGUGAAUGUCCAGUUUGUGCCCAUACCAUUUGUUUUAAACCUAUAUUUUUUUUAUUGUAUUACCUUUGCCUCUUUGUCAAAGAUCAGUUGACUGUAUUUGUAUGGGCCUAUUUCUGGGCUUUCUAUUCUAUUCUCUUGGUCUGUUUGUCUCUUUUUUUUUUCUAAUACCAUACUGUCUGGAUCACAAUAACUGUACAGUAAGUCUGGAAGUUAGGUAGUGUUAAUCCUCCAGUUUUGUUUCUUUUUUUCUAUAUUGUGUUGGCUCUUCUGGAGCCUUUGUUUCUCCAUAUAAACCUUAGAAUCACUUUGUUGAUAUUCACGAAAUACCUUUCUGGGAUUUCAAUUAAAACUGCAUUUAAUGUACAGAUAAUUUUGAGAACUGGCAUCUUGACAAUAUUGAUGCUUCUAUUCAUAAACAUGCAACAUCUCUCCAUUUAUUUAGUUCUCCUUUGAUUUCUUUCAUCAGAGAUUUAUAGUUUCCCUUUAUAUAGAUGUUGUACAAACUUUGUUGGAUUUACCAAAGAAUUUCAUUUUUUGGUGCUAAUAUAAAUGAUAUUGCAAUUCUAAUUUCCAAUUCCAUUUGUUCAUUGCUGGUAUCAUAUGUUAUUUUUUAAUCUUCUUCAAACUCAGUCUCUCAGUCUUCCCUAGACUUUCAUAACUUCUACAUUUUGAAAAUUUUAUGUCAAUUAUUUAAUAGAAUAUCUCUAAAUUUAGGUUUGUCUCAUUUUUCAAUGUAAUUGGAUUCAGGUUACGCAUUUUUGAUAGAUUAGAGUGGUGCUGUGUUAUUCUUAUUGCACAGGUCUGUUGGGUUGAGUGGGGUGAGUUAAAUCAUUCCUUUUUGGCCUCUCAUAAUACUGAAUCAAGUGAAAGUUGGCCUGAGUCAUCAGAAGACUUGUCUCGGCUGAAUGUACAAGGUGCUCACUGACAUAUACAGAUCCAAAGUUGAGUCGGACUGGUCUGACUGUUGGCUGAAAGCUCACCUGGGGCUGCCAGAGGUCUUCAACCAUAGCGUCUCCACGUAACUUAAGCUUCUUAUAUCAUGUGCCUAAAUUCUGAGACAGAGGAAUAGAGAAGAGAGAAAGGAAGAGCAAGAGAGAGAAGGGGAGUUCCGAGUGUCCAUUCCAAGAAACUGAGGUGGAAACUGCAAGGCUUCUUAUACCAGAGCAUUACUUUUUGUACCAGAACAUUACUUCCAGUGUAUUCUAUCUGUAAAGCAAGUUAUAUUUAGUUCACAUCUUGAUGUGAGAAAUAGCAUUGUGUACAGGGAAAAAGAACUUGAUAGCUAUUUUUGUAGACUAUCUGAUAAAGAUGUUUCUGGGCUGAGUUAAUAAUGCUAUGUUGGCUAUUUAUUUCUGAUUUUCUAGUUCUGUCAUUUCUUCUACAUUUAUUAGUUAGUCUUUGUGUCAGUUGGGGUUCCCUAGGGAAACAGAACCAAUAGGAUAUAUCUAUAUCUUUACCUAUGUCCCAUACAGAUACACACACACACACACACACACACACACACAUCCAAUCCACACACACAUGUACAUUCAAUCUGUUGAUAGCCUGACUAGAACAAUAGGCAAAGGCAAGGGGAAAUUCGUAUCUCUACCUGACUGCUUCAGCUGAAAUAUCAAUCAGUCUCUUCCUGCCCUACACUGGGACCAACAUCAUGAGCCCUCUGGUUCCCAGAACUGUAACACUAGCUUUCCUCUUUCCGGGGUCUCCAGCUUUCAGACAGUAGAAUCAUGAGACUUCUCAGCCUCCUUAACCAUGUGAGCCAAUGCCUUAUAACAAAUAUCCUACAAACAUAUAUAUAUAAAUGUAUACAUACAAAUAUAAUAAUAUCAUACAAAUAUAUAUAUUUAUAUGUAUA
rnacentral:lncRNA from 1 species